AAGUUGAAGAACAAAAAAUUAAAUAUAUUUUUCUACUUGCACAAUAAUAUGUACAAUUAGUUUAGCGUAAAGAAACUAUUAAAUAUAUGCUGGUCGCUGCUGUUUAUAUUACAUAUUAUUUAUGAAAUCAAAAAAUCUUUGAACUUUAAUUGAAUGAUGAAAAAUAAACGUAAAUUUGCUGCGGAACUUGAUUGGCAUUUUGUUACAAUGAAAGUUUUUAAUAUGGCAAAUGUUUUAUAAUAACACGCAUUGAUUAUAUUAAAUAUUUUUUCGUAUGUAUGUAUGUAAAUAAAAAGUGUGCACAUGGCUAUGUAAGCGUAUAUACUUUAUAAUUUAUUAGAGGCAGCUCCUCGGUCAUCGCACUACCCCUCCGUUUACCAACUUUCAUGGCAUAAAAAUCCAUGUUAUCUGCGCUACAGCGCGCCGUGCGGCCUAUCGCUUGAAAUUUUCGAAAGCAUAAAGGAUUACGAAGAAUUUUCCUACGCAAACAAUUCUUCUUCUUCUUUAUUGUCGUAGCACCCCGCUUAUAUAGCCGAGUUAUAGUCCAGUUAACAACAGCGCGCCAGCCGUUCUUCUUGUUUGACGCUAAUUGGAGAUUCUAAGUGUAGCCACAAGGUCCUUCUCCACUUGUUCUU
rnacentral:lncRNA from 1 species